ACGCGAAAGUCCCCUUCGGGGGGCGAGUAGAGUGGCGUCCGGGUGAGUAACACGUAGGUAAUCUACCUUUGGGUGGGGAAUAACGCAGGGAAACUUGCGCUAAUACCGCAUAAUGCAGCGGCACCACAUGGUGACAGUUGUUAAAGCAGGGGAUUUUCGAACCUCGCGCCUGAAGAGGAGCCUGCGGCGGAUUAGCUAGUUGGUAGGGUAACGGCCUACCAAGGCAACGAUCUGUAGCCGGCCUGAGAGGGCGGUCGGCCACACUGACACUGACAUACGGGUCAGACUCCUACGGGAGGCAGCAGUCGGGAAUUUUGGGCAAUGGGCGAAAGCCUGACCCAGCAACGCCGCGUGAAGGAUGAAAUCCUUCGGGAUGUAAACUUCGCAAGAAUGGGAAGAAUUAGUAGGGGUUAAUACCCUCUAUGAUGACGGUACCAUUUGUAAGCUCCGGCUAACUCCGUGCCAGCAGCCGCGGUAAUACGGGGGGAGCAAGCGUUGUUCGGAUUUACUGGGCGUAAAGGGCGCGUAGGCGGUCAGCACAAGUCAGUUGUGAAAUCUCCGGGCUUAACUCGGAAAGGUCAACUGAUACUGUGCGACUAGAGUGCAGAAGGGGCAACUGGAAUUCUCGGUGUAGCGGUGAAAUGCGUAGAUAUCGAGAGGAACACCUGCGGCGAAAGCGGGUUGCUGGGCUGACACUGA
rnacentral:rRNA from 1 species